rnacentral:lncRNA from 1 species
CACGGCCGCCCCCAGCGCAGCGGCACACGGGCAGCGCCGCCGGGGCGGACGUUGUUGGGCCGCAGCGCCCCGCGGCCCCACCGCGCCCUGAGGGAGCCGCCCCGCCGCCGCGGCCCCGCCAUUACCUGGGAGGAGCGGGGAAGCUCCAUCAGAGCCUGAACCUCCAGAAUUUGUGAUGGAAUAGCAACACAGAAGGAUGUAGUCAACAUCUUUCACACAAGAUUUGAUAAGAAAGUGUCCACUCUAAGCCAGUCAGUCAUCUGGAUUGCAUCUGUGGUCAGUGGAGGGGAUCAGCCACUUCAGAAGGUAGAUGGCCUCUCCAGACUUGGCCAGAUAUUUUCAGAGGGGUGACUCUCAGAACUUCACACAAACAGAAAAUCCUCAACAGUAUCUUCUGGAGGAAAACAGAAUGCGUACAGGAAAACCUGUUCAUACAUUGUAACGUUUCUCAAACAAAUCUCCACCUGUAUUCCCUGCUUCAGCAGACAAUCAUAAAUAGCAAAACUUUUGAUAAUAUUUAGGCCUUCUUUUACACGUCCCAGUGAUGAAAGUUUAACUGUUUCUCUGGGCAGUUUACAGCUUAAUUCUGCACAGUUGUCUAAUACUUAAUGUAAAUCACCUUUGCUGCAAUUUAACUCAAUUGCUUGUCCUAAUGGACACAGAGAGUGUCUAUUUCAUUAUUCUUUGCCACGAUUUUGCAUAUUUGGAGAUUAUUAUUCCCAUUCAUAGAAUCAUAGAAUCACCAAGGUUGGAAAAGACCCAGAAGAUCACCCAGUCCAACCAUCCACCCAUCACCAAUACUUCUCACUAAACCAUAUCCCGCAACACAACAUCCAAACGUUCCUUGAACACCUCCAGGGUUCAUGUUCCUUCCUAGUUUUCACUAUUCUUGACACCAUUUGUGUCUUGACACUGAAAUAAAGUUGUCGUGAUGCUAGUAGGAUUUAUGUACAGUUAAGCCUCUCUGACAAAGCAUAAGGGGAGUGAAAAUCUGGAGGUUGGAUGAGGGGAGAGUGGAGGCUGUUCUCCAUCUCACCUUUCCCUUAGCCUUGCAGCUGAUCCUGUACUGUUCUUGAUCCUGUCCACCGC